AUACGUAGGGUGCAAGCGUUAAUCGGAAUUACUGGGCGUAAAGCGUGCGCAGGCGGUUUUGUAAGACAGUGGUGAAAUCCCCGGGCUCAAACUGGGAACUGCCAUUGUGACUGCCAGGCUGGAGUGGGGCAGAGGGGGGUGGAAUUUCGCGGGUAGCAGUGAAAUGCGUAGAUAUGCGGAGGAACACCGAUGGCGAAGGCAAUCCCCUGGGCCUGCACUGACGCUCAUGCACGAAAGCGUGGGGAGCAAACAGGAUUAGAUACCCUGGUAGUCCACGCCCUAAACGAUGUCAACUGGUUGUUGGGGAUUUAUUUUCUCAGUAACGAAGCUAACGCGUGAAGUUGACCGCCUGGGGAGUACGGCCGCAAGGUUAAAACUCAAAUGAAUUGACGGGG
rnacentral:rRNA from 1 species